rnacentral:rRNA from 1 species
UCCUCCCUCUUUCUUCGUGCUUAACACAUGCAAGUCGAACGGAAAGGCCCUGCUUUUGUGGGUUGCUCGAGUGGCGAACGGGUGAGUAACACGUGAGUAACCUGCCCUUGACUUUGGGAUAACUUCAGGAAACUUGGGCUAAUACCGGAUAGGAGCUCCUGCUGCAUGGUGGGGGUUGGAAAGUUUCUGCGGUUGGGGAUGGACUCGCGGCUUAUCAGCUUGUUGGUGGGGUAGUGGCUUACCAAGGCUUUGACGGGUAGCCGGCCUGAGAGGGUGACCGGCCACAUUGGGACUGAGAUACGGCCCAGACUCCUACGGGAGGCAGCAGUGGGGAAUAUUGCACAAUGGGCGGAAGCCUGAUGCAGCAACGCCGCGUGCGGGAUGACGGCCUUCGGGUUGUAAACCGCUUUCGCCUGUGACGAAGCGUGAGUGACGGUAAUGGGUAAAGAAGCACCGGCUAACUACGUG